AUUUCAGUUUACUUUUCUAUGAACGUUCCCAUGGCUUUCUAAAAACAAUAACUUAACAAUAGUGUAAAAUAACUGGGGGACAUCACCUUUAGUGAUGAACGACGGAACGUGCUGUAAGAACACUUGUAGGAACGUUGCUGCAGAUGUGAGAAUUCAGGGAACGAGAUGCAAGCUCAUCUCAGUGGGAAAAAGGAAUCAAUACAGGAUUAAUGUGCAAAACCUAUCAUUUCAUAAAAUACUUAAAGUGUCUCCCACAAUUACCAUAGCCAUGCCUGAAAUCAUGACAUGUGAGAGCUGCAGCCAGCUUCUCUCCAAAGUCCAGAGCAAUUUUGUUAUGUUUGAGAAGCAGACUAUCUUUGAGGAGAGCUUCGUUAACCUGAAGAAUGUGCCUACACCAGGAUUUCUCCUGCUAUAUUUUUAGAGAGCUUGGUGUUUAUCUAGUCUUUUUAGGUUACGGGAGACCUAUGGCUUCGAUUCCUGUCUUGAGUUUGUCCAACCCUGUUGCAAGAGAGGACUCUUAUUAUCAGUUCUGUUGGGAGAAGUAUUUCAUGUUUAUAUUUUCAUUCAAGAAUGUUACCUUCUAGCAUUAGGAAAAAAAAGUGAUUUAUAUAUAUUCUUUGGCUGUGCUGUGGAUUAUUUUAGUGUACUCUGGCUCCCAACCUUAUAAAAGGCCGAAGUUGUUAUAGAUGGGUCUAUUUAAUCUCCUACUGAAAUCAAUGGAAAAACUUCAUGACUUCACGGGGAGUUUAAGUAGCAUACCAAAGUCCUUCUGAGAAGUACUGUGUUGCCUAGUUGAAAUAUACAAAUUAUAUUAGAAUUUGUUGCGGUAUCUGGAUGAUGUUAUAGCCAUGAAAGUUUUCAGUUUAAGUACGUGUUACUGAAAUUCAUAUUGCAUCAAGUUAUCACCAUUUUUAUUAAGCCGAAAAUACAUAACUUUAAUAAUUAUUGUGUCUUGUUUGACAUUUACUGGAGGGCUUAUUCUGAUUUAGUUUUUCAUUCCAUAGUAGUAUUGUUUUGCAUUAGAGUAUGGUCUUUGUCUCACAAGUACAUAAUCAUUUAAGAAAAAGAAAGUUACAUUUAAGCCUUUUUUUUUAGUAGAGUCCAAAUAGAGGCUGUGCCUAGGAUAUUUGCACCUACAGAUACACAUACAUUUUAACUUUUUCAUUAUUCUACAAGCUUUCUGAAGUGAUGAUCGUGUGUAAAUAAUCUACUAUGAUUUUCUGUUUCAAACUAUCAUUUUCCUUGAUUCAAGUGCCAUGGAAAAUUUGUCAUUCCAUCGUCUUUUCUUUUUUGCUAAGAACUUGUGAACUAUCUUUGAUUUACUCCUUUCUGAGGGAGUCCCUGCCUGGCAAUAAAUAGAUAAAUCUCUGCUUUAAUGCUAUUUCU
rnacentral:lncRNA from 1 species